rnacentral:rRNA from 1 species
UACGGGGGGAGCAAGCGUUGUUCGGAUUUACUGGGCGUAAAGGGCGCGUAGGCGGCCACCGCAAGUCAAUUGUGAAAUCUCCGGGCUUAACUCGGAAAGGUCAACUGAUACUGCGGGGCUAGAGUGCGGAAGGGGCAACUGGAAUUCUCGGUGUAGCGGUGAAAUGCGUAGAUAUCGAGAGGAACACCUGCGGCGAAGGCGGCAUCCUGGACCGACACUGACGCUGAGGAGCGAAAGCCAGGGGAGCAAACGGG